rnacentral:rRNA from 1 species
UUUGACCUCGAAUCAGGUAGGGAUACCCGCUGAACUUAAGCAUAUCAAUAAGCGGAGGAAAAGAAACCAACAGGGAUUGCCCUAGUAACGGCGAGUGAAGCGGCAAUA